rnacentral:rRNA from 1 species
UACGUAGGGGGCGAGCGUUGUCCGGAUUUAUUGGGCGUAAAGAGCUCGUAGGCGGCUUGGCAAGUCGGGUGUGAAACCUCCAGGCUCAACCUGGAGACGCCACUCGAUACUGCCAUGGCUAGAGUCCGGUAGGGGACCACGGAAUUCCUGGUGUAGCGGUGAAAUGCGCAGAUAUCAGGAGGAACACCGGUGGCGAAGGCGGUGGUCUGGGCCGGCACUGACGCUGAGAAGCGAAAGCAUGGGUAGCAAACAGG